rnacentral:rRNA from 1 species
GACGUAGGGGGCCAGCGUUGUUCGGAAUUACUGGGUGUAAAGGGUUCGUAGGCGGUGCGGCAAGUCGGGAGUGAAAUCUCUGGGCUUAACCCAGAGGCUGCUUCCGAAACUGCUGUGCUUGAGUGUGGGAGAGGCGCGUGGAAUUGCAGGUGUAGCGGUGAAAUGCGUAGAUAUCUGGAGGAACACCGGUGGCGAAGGCGGCGUCCUGGACCAACACCGACACUGAGGAGCGAAAGCCAGGGGAGCAAACGGG